CCGGAGCAAAGGCAACAGAGCUUUAACACCAGAGAGCCAUCUCGUUCCCCAUGGCGCCCGCGGCGUUUUCCUCUGUGACACUGAAGUGGUGGUUUUUCCUCAACAAGUCAUGGGUACUGACACUUUUUGAGAUAGUCUGAUGAGGACAAGUAAAAUGCCACAUCUUAAACUGCUCGUUGAUAUGAACCCUGUGAAAUACCACAAACCACUCGAAUGCAGAAAAGAGGUGGUAAAAUUGAGGCCCAGGGAGGUGAAGAAUUUCAGGCACACAUCUACUCAGUGACUCAAGAUUCACUCAGAAAAGAACAAAGGGAAGAGAGAGAGAGAAAGAGGGAACACACUCAGAAACAGUCUAAUUCCAAUGGCAUUCAUACACAAACUUUUGAUUUUUGAAAGUUAGCCUCCCAGAAUAAAUGUCCAUCCGCAGGAGAAUGGCAGAAGAAGUGAUGGCCCCCUGUGGAGUGGAAUGUGCCCUGGCACAGCGUGGACGGGGGACUGCCAUACCCUGGCAUGCAAGGACAGGUACCGGGACCGCCCGCAACACACAUUCCUGGACGGGAGUCUUGCCAGUAGCGUCCACGUGCUAGUCCCCUCCUAGGAUUGGUCCCUUGCCCAGAGCAGAUGUUCGAUGAGUAUUUGCUUAACAAACUAACAGAAAGGGUCACAGAUUAAUAUAGCACAAUCUCACUUGGGCAAAAAGCAAAACAGAAUAGAUCCUGUAAACCGGAUGACCUCUAUUCUGACAUACGUCUUUGCUCAUUUCCGUUACAUUUAAACUGGAAAAUAUAUGAUAACAGGCAUUAAAGAAACACCUCAGAAUAAAUAGAUGGUUAGGUUAGGAUCCAGCAGAGCUCAAGAAUUCUGAGGGUUAGGUCAGCGGCUAAGAGGACGCCUAACUGCACCGCCACCCACACCGAAGUGGAGAGGACAAUGGCUGAGCUGGGCGGGAAGGGGGAACCACAGGAAAGUUCAUCAGAGGGAAGAGUGGGAGGAUGUGUUUCUACAGGAUGGGGAUGAGUGCAGGAAGAGUCCACCUGAUGAGCACUGGCCUCACUGGGACGCAGUCAACCUGAGUGACUGGCCCCCUGGAGCCUGAUAGUGGGACUCGGGUGUGACCGUGGGGCGCCUGGACGUGAAGCAGGCUGCCCAGUGGUGUGAGCAGCAGCUGGUCAGGAGUCUGUCUGCUCUGGCAGAGGAGGGGCCAGGUUGUGUCUGCAAAGCAGGAGAAUGCCAGGCUGGGUGGCAGGGGAGGUUUGGGGCCGUGACUGCGCCCAGGAGCUGGCAGAGCCGCAGUCUUGCAUACCUGGAGUGCUCUGAGGCUCCCCGUGGUUAGUGGGAGGGAACUGGCACUUCCUCAGAGUCAAAAGCACCAGGUGUAAGGUGGGUGGUGACUAGUGUCAAGCUAGAGUCCUGGGAAAGUGGGCGUGUGGCUUUGUGCUACAUUCCUUCUUGACCUUAAACUGGGCUGCUGAUUUUUCUCACGGUUUUCUUUAGUGGGGCAUUUUCUGAUUUUCUUAGCAAGAGAUUUCUCUUUUGGCCACCCACAGCACGGGAGGGCAUGGUUCUAUGAUGAAGAUUAUUAUUUUUUGCUUGGCAGGAACUUCUCAGGUCAGGAUUGUCGUCUUCAUUUAAUAAAUCUGUUAAAUUGAGUACUGGGUAUGGCUCUAAGCUAUCUUA